AAUUCUAAUCGCAUACAACUUUGCUCAUACCUCAGCUGUUCGAUUCUUGUCAAAGUGAUUGAAAACUCGUGUUGUGUAAAAUUUCCUUGCGCAUAUAAAUUAUUGAUCGUAUUCAGAUUUCAUAAAUUUUUGGCUACAUUUAACUUAAACAGAGCAAAAUGGCAUUAUCACCUGGUGUAAAGGAACGUUUAGAAGUGGUUUAUGAUGUCGCAAAGACCACGUUCCACUGGGGUUUCAUUCCAAUGGUUAUUUACUUGGGUUUCCGUAAGGGCGCUGAACCCGGCAUGCCACCACUGUCGAUAUUGAGCUUGCUUUGGCAAUAAAUCACUCUUUUCUAUCUUUACGGGGGGAUUCAUAAGUGGACACAUCGUACCGAAGUGUUCUCGGUAAUGAUUACGUGCUUUACUGAACUAAGAAAAUUUGUAUUCAUAUGGAAUCCAAUUCAUAUUUGAGAAACAAAUUGAUAAGAAGAAAACUGAAGUGAUAAAACUGAUUGAGUAACCUCCAGGAAAAUUUUAGUGUAAUCUCGGCUGUCAAAAUUACUUUUUAUAUAUGAACCGAUACUUCUAAUUUGAGGAAUUACUCAUUUUCUUAAGUAAACGUUAACAUGGUACCACCACAAUUUGUUUCCCUGAAUUGGCAUUCAUCCUGUUCUGAUAUUCACUGCAUUAUAAAAGUUUUUAGUUCCAUUAUUAAUUUCCAACUUGUCAAAGAAAAUAAUAGAUGUUUAAAUUUUUUUCCUUAACGCAUUGUUUUGAGGCAGUUUAACAAUACUUUGUGCACAUAGUUAAAAGUACGGUUAUCUUUGUAUUUGCUAUUUCCGUUCUUAACUUUUAACCCUUGUACCUCAAUACAUCCUUGUACAAGUAACUGAAAGUCAGUUACAUAUAAAAGCUUAUUAGAAAUGACUAAAUAUAUUAAUGAGAGCAUAGUGAA